UACGUAGGGGGCAAGCGUUGUCCGGAUUUAUUGGGCGUAAAGAGCGUGUAGGCGGCUUUACAGGUCCGUUGUGAAAACUCGAGCUCAACCUCGAGACGCCGAUGGAAACCCCCUGCUAGAGUCCGGAAGAGGAGAGUGGAAUUCCUGGUGUAGCGGUGAAAUGCGCAGAUAUCAGGAGGAACACCGGUGGCGAAGGCGGGACUCUGGGCCGAUACUGACGCUGAGGAGCGAAAAGCGUGGGGAGCAAACAGG
rnacentral:rRNA from 1 species